AUACUCAAACUUAGGUGUAUCUGAAAAAUACUUUUUGAUUUGCUUUUAGCGAGUGAGACAUCCUAGGAGAAACUCAGGGUCACGAAGAGGAGGUGAAGAUGAGGAGGCAGCUGGGGGAGUGGCUGCCUAUGGUGGGCUGCCCCACUUGAAUAUGCUGGCUCUCUCAUCCAUCUGCUGACCUGGGCUUCCUGACUCUCUGUCCAGUGCUCUUACUCCCACUAUUCCAUGGUUGCAUUAUUCAGAGAAGCAGCUUGUGCCUUCACUGUAAUCUUCAUCCAGGAGGACCAGGAAGGAGCAGAGCAGCACUGACAUCUGCCCGUCCCUGGAGUGGGGCCAAGUGACUUAUAAAAGGCACAGACAUGACCUAAAGCCUGAUCACCCUGCUGGGGGCCCUCCUUGUGAAGACCACAUCUUAGGGGACAGCCAGCCAUUUCGUUCCCUGAGGCUGUGCUGCCUUGGAUGCUGCUGUGAGUAUCACUAUUGCCAUUGUUACUGGUAACCAUUUACAAGCAUCUGCUAUGCACCAGGUACCCAGCAAAAUCUGGUGAUGCACAAGCGAUGGGAGAGUCAGACAGUGGACAACCAACUGCAACAAUUCCAGGGGGAAGGAUCGAUGCAGGGAGCUGAUUAAACUAGACAUCUCUGGCAGGAAGAAGAACUGGAAGGACUCACAGGCUCCGGUGGCCACCCUACAACCAGAAGACAGACAUCUAACAAUGUAUUGUCAGAUGAUGGAUUAGCCAGGCCUGGGGAAGAGAGCUGAGUGUGCAGCCUCCUUCCCUGUCUCCUGGGUGACAAAGCCGCUGGAUGACCCCGCCAACAAUAACGAGAUGAAAAUGAAGAACACUGCAGUAUAAUGAGCAUGAUAAAAAUAGAGAUGUUGCUAAAUAAUGGGUCGGCCAUGGCUGAGGAGCAGGAGAAAGAGCCAAGCCCAAAGGAAUUAGAUAAGGCCUUCCUGUGUGGUCUCCAAGCUUGACCCCCUGAUGUGUUACUGUUGCUCAACCAGGCCAUCGAUGGUUUUGAGUCCCUCAUGUGGCAAAGAUGUCAGAGCGGGAUUGGAGGGUGGGCCUAAGUGAAAAUCCCCAGCAGGCUCUAUCCUGGUCACUGUGGCUCUGACCUCCACCGGGGGAGGGACAAAGGUGUGGUCAGCACACAUGCUGAUGGUGGUUACGAAUUACUGCCUUUAGUAGGAACCUCUUGCCUGCCAAUGAGUAUCAGCAAAUAGUCUGAGUUAAUGCACCGAAGUUUUUCAGAACAUUGCACCUCUCAUCUACAUAGUGCAGAGUGGAAGAAGCUUGUUAAUUAUGCUUUUGUUUGUAUUUUUGUUUAGUUGGUAGCUUGGAGUAUCUGCCAGGAAAGGCAGGCGCCCCUCGGGAGGGAGGUACCCUGGUGCUACAGGGACGGCUGCCUGUGAAGCCUUCUGGCACCAACUCCCUCUGAGGUUUGUUUUUUAAUUUUUAAAUAAUUAAAUCAAGCCUAUUUUUGAAUAAGCAAUACAUACACAGAGUACAAAAUUUAAAAGGAACAAAAAGGGUGCGGCAAACAUAAAUAUCCCUUCCUCUUCUCCCCCUAUUCCCAGCCACCCAGUUUCCUUCCCUCGAGGCAACCACUGUUACUAGUUUCUUCUGCAUUUUUCCAGAGAUAUUCUAAGCAUAAAUAAGUGCAUGUACCCCACCCUCCAAACAUACGUACCAGUUGUUUUUUUUUAAAAAACACAAAUGCUAACGUACUGAUUCAACCAGAGUCCUGACAGAAAACAGAUGGCACACAUAAAGUGAGUCAUCUGAGUAGAGUUUAAUAAAUGGGCUUUUACCAAUGUGUAGGAAAAGCCCAAAGCCAGCAACACUUGAGUGAGAGGGCACGGUGACAUAGUGUGAGCAACACAGCCAGCGGAGGAGCAUUCCAGGGAGGUUCAGGGGCAUAAUCACCUGUCGUUCCUCUCCUCCCUCUGAUCUUUUGCUGCAGCACCUCAUGGGCUGAACUCAACCUGAGGCAGAGUACAAGAGUCUAUUGAUGCAGUUUAAAGAGGUCACUCUGGGGCAGGGAACAGGUGGGGAAGGGCCAAGAGUGGAUAAGGAGGGCAAAUGUGGGCACUCAGCUCAUGCACUCAGCACCUCAUCCUGUUCUUUGCUGUUUUCCACUUCACAGUCUAUCUGUACAUAUAGCCUCAUUCUUUCUGCUAGCUUAUUCUAUUGCAUUUCUGUUGUGGAAUACCAUGCCACAAGCAAGGGACUGAAUUGUGACUCCCACCCCAAUUAUAUGUUGAAGUCCUAACACCCAAAGUAACUGUAUGUAGAGGAGGAAGUCAUUAAAGUUGAAUGAGGUCAUAAGGGUGAUGCCUAGAAUAAGGCUUAUUAAGAGGAGACACAAGAGCUCUCUAUCUGUCAUGUGAGGACACAGCCAGAAGAUGGCAGUCUGCAAGCCAGGAACUCAUCAGAAACCCCAGCAGCAGGAACCUUGAUCUUGAACUUUCCAGUCUCCAGAACUGGGAGAAAGAAAUGUCUUCUGUUUAACACACCCAGGUCAUGGUAUUUUGUUAUGCCAGCCUGAGCUAAGACACCAUACACACACACACACACACACACACACACGUAAUAUAUCACAAAAAUAAUAAUAUAUACAACCAUAUAUUCAACUAGUCCCUCACUGAUGGUCUUUUAAGAUAGUUUCCAAUUUUCGGCUAUUACAAACAAUGCUGCAAGGCAAAUCCUUUUACUGUUAUUUCACUGGUAAGGAUACGUACAGAACAAAUCCUGUAGGAAUUUAUUUAUAGGAAGGGAUUGUUGUAUCAAAGAAUGUAUGCUUUAAAAAUUUUGAUAGAUUCAGCUGCAGCACGCUGCAUAGAAUUUGCACCAAUUUGCAUGCACAUCAGCAAUGUAUAAGGUUCCCGUGCAGUUUUUAAACAUCUGGGUUUCAAAGAUGUGAAUAAACUUAUUACAGCAUCUU
ensembl:lncRNA